UUCUUGAGAGCGGCGGACGGGUGAGUAAUGCCUAGGAAUCUGCCUAGUGGUGGGGGAUAACGUUCGGAAACGGACGCUAAUACCGCAUACGUCCUACGGGAGAAAGCGGGGGACCUUCGGGCCUCGCGCCAUUAGAUGAGCCUAGGUCGGAUUAGCUAGUUGGUGAGGUAACGGCUCACCAAGGCGACGAUCCGUAACUGGUCUGAGAGGAUGAUCAGUCACACUGGAACUGAGACACGGUCCAGACUCCUACGGGAGGCAGCAGUGGGGAAUAUUGGACAAUGGGCGAAAGCCUGAUCCAGCCAUGCCGCGUGUGUGAAGAAGGUCUUCCGAUUGUAAAGCACUUUAAGUUGGGAGGAAGGGUAGUAACUUAAUACGUUGCUACUUUGACGUUACCGACAGAAUAAGCACCGGCUAACUUCGUGCCAGCAGCCGCGGUAAUACGAAGGGUGCAAGCGUUAAUCGGAAUUACUGGGCGUAAAGCGCGCGUAGGUGGUUCAGUAAGUUGGAUGUGAAAGCCCCGGGCUCAACCUGGGAACUGCAUCCAAAACUGCUGAGCUAGAGUACGGUAGAGGGUGGUGGAAUUUCCUGUGUAGCGGUGAAAUGCAUAGAUAUAGGAAGGAACACCAGUGGCGAACGCGACCACCUGGACUGAUACUGACACUGAGGUGCGACAGCGUGGGAGCAAACAGGAUUAGAUACCCUGGUAGUCCACGCCGUAAAUAUGUCAACUAGCCGUUGGAGUCUUGAACUCUUAGUGUCGCGCUACGCAU
rnacentral:rRNA from 1 species